rnacentral:tRNA from 1 species
GGGCGACUAGCUCAGCGGGAGAGCACUGCCUUCACACGGCAGGGGUCGCUGGUUCGAUCCCAGCGUCGCCCACCA